ACCUGGUUGAUCCUGCCAGUAGUCAUAUGCUUGUCUUAAGGAUUAAGCCAUGCAUGUCUCAGUAUAAACGAUUUUAUACGGUGAAACUGCGAAUGGCUCAUUACAACAGUUAUAGUUUAUUUGAUCGUGCGGUACUACGUGGAUAACCGUAGGAAUUCUAGAGCUAAUACAUGCCCCAUCGCUUUCGAAGUUUUUUAAUUUUUUUUCUUUUUUAAAAGGAAAAAAAAAAAGAAAAAAUUAGAAAGUGGGAUUUAUUAGAUCAAAAACCAAUCGCUUUAGAGCGUGGCGGGAUGAAUCAUAAUAACUUUCCGAAUCGCAAGGCUAUAAAUUGAGCCGGCGAUAUAUCAUUCAAAUUUCUGCCCUAUCAACUUUCGAUGGU
rnacentral:rRNA from 1 species